rnacentral:tRNA from 1 species
GGAGAGGUGGCAGAGUGGUCGAAUGCGCACGCUUGGAAAGCGUGUGUAGGGUUAAACCUACCGAGGGUUCGAAUCCCUCCCUCUCCGCCA